UACGUAGGGACCAAGCGUUGUUCGGAUUUACUGGGCGUAAAGGGCGCGUAGGCGGCGUGACAAGUCACUUGUGAAAUCUCUGAGCUUAACUCAGAACGGCCAAGUGAAACUGUUGUGCUAGAGUGCAGAAGGGGCAAUCGGAAUUCUUGGUGUAGCGGUGAAAUGCGUAGAUACCAUCCAGAACCCCGAUUGCGUAGGCAGCUGACUAGGCUGGUACUGACACUGAGGCACGAAAGCGUGGGGAGCGAACAGG
rnacentral:rRNA from 1 species